GGACAGAAACGUCCACCUUAAGCCGCCUUCCCCCCCCCCACCCCAAUACGUGUUUUUUUUAAAAUUCUGUUACAUAAUUUCUUGUGUUUCGAAGUGCCGUGGGUUUUAAACUGCCGCGUCAGGAUUUGCAGGCCUGCCUAGGACUUAAGUUAUGGAGAUUUGUUCAUUGCAAACUUCAGUUUGUUCGGAUUUGCUUAGGUUUUUUUUAGCUAGACAUGGAGACUAGAUAGAGAAAAAGAGGUCAGUCGCAUCCCACCUCUACCCCCUUUGCUUCAACUGAAAACUUUCAAACUACUUCCUUGGGUAAGAAGAAUAAAUAUGAACUGUGUGUUUUCUCACCCCCCCCCUGGCUGUAAUGUUUGCAGUAUUUCUAGCCUUUUGCUAGAAAUAUACUGCCUGACCUCAUUUCUGCAAGGUGUGUGAUAAAUUAGAAUCAAUACACCACUAUUUUGCUUUUUAAAAAAACAGUGUUCAAGAAGUGCUUAGGAGCUUUUUAAAAAGUAAGUUCAGGAGUGGAAAUGAAGAAUAAUAAACAAUAUCCAGUCCCUAAUCCCUGGAUGAAUCCUUCAUGUUUAGUCCUUUGCAUUUGCUUUAUCCUCUGGUAUUUCCACAGAGAACAAUCUGUUGUUUGUAAGUAUAUCUGGGCCUACCAGUGAAAUGCAAGAUUUCCCCCAUUUUCCAGGAAAGACUUAUCUAGUGUUUGCUACAGGCCCUGUCAAUCAAUGACGUGGAAAUAAGCAAUUCAGUCUGCUAUUUUAUCUAUGCUUAUUUGGAAGUCAAUCCCUCUUAACACUCUGGAAGUGAUAUCCAUGUAAGGAACUUUCCCACUCAGCUGUGGAGAGGAAGAAGACUGAACAGAUAAAGAUUUUAGGAGAAUGAUCUAUUUUGAUGUAACAGAAAUGACUAUCUGAUAGUUACCAUUCAAGAGACUAGUAAAUAUCUCUUGUGGUCCUAUUAGCUUUUAUGGGGGUAGUAAGAAAGUAACAAUGAAAUUUACAGCUGCACAAUGGGAUGAUAAUCACUAGUUUCAUGGCUUUCCAAAAAAAUUAGCGGGAAAAGAUGACUUUUUGAGGAAAAAUCUGCCAACAACUAUUGCAAAGACAAGUAUGUAAGAUACUUGGACCAAAAAUAGGGAAUGGGAGCCUUUUGGAUGUUUUCAAUGGGCAAUGUAAUCUUAAAUUUAGAUGGCUUUUGUAUAUCAAAUUAAAACUUAACUUACAGAACUUUUUUGCAAUCAGGUUCUGCUGCUUUCAUUUUUUUCCAAAUAGCAUAAGUUCAAAAUAAUAGUCCUGAAUUGGGGAUUAAUACCCUAAUUCUAAAACACUAUGGAAAUACAAGGUGCAUAUUAGCUUAAAAACUCUGAAUCUUGGAUCAUAUUGUACACCAAAAAAGUUAUGCCCAAUGUAAUAUUUAUUAUUGAACCUGCCCAUUGUGAAUUAAAACAAACAGACUGAAUAUUCAGAGAAAUCAAGUUCCAACCCUUUGCCCAAAAAACAGAAUAAAAGAAUGUGAUGCUUGAAUGUGUAAUCCUAAUUACAAUUUGAAUGGAAUAAACAGGAAAAAUACGAGUGGGAGUUGCUAAAGAGCUGGUCGCGUGCUUUAUUACAUUUGAUACUCAAUGUUUCUAUACUUUCACUUUGGCUGCUUCUUUUCUCAAACAGCUAUAAUUCUACUGUGGGGGGAAAAACAAGAUAGAGUAACCGGAACUGAAUAAUAGCUGAAUAUAGUUGGCUCAAAUAUAGCUAAAAAGAUAUACUGACUUUUCAAAGAUUGAUUUGAAUAUAUAGCCAAAUUGAUUGUCCAAAUUGAUUCAUCCACACUGGUCAGAAAACUGAAAAUCAAACCAUUUUCAUGAUGCUGCUGUAAUUGAAAUUAUUUCAAGUGGGUUUUAAUUCCAGCACUUCAGGAAAUAAAAAGGCCUCCCUGCCGUCUCUCCCAGAAAGCAAAGACAUGAGUCAAACUACCCUUGGAGGAUGAAACUCAGCUGAUACAGAUGGCGUUUUCACACAUCAUGAUGUUAACCAAAUGGAUAGCUUGUUGACUACAGAUUCACAUGGCAGGAGCCUGUGGUUGGUUCACCACCAACACCAGGUAAGUGCAGUGGUUCACUAGGACUGGACUGAGAUAUACAAGCCCCUCCAAAUAUUGUUGCAGUUGCUAUACACUCUUUUUAAAAUCUUCUCACAAAAUAGAUGCACUGCUGUAAGCAAAAAUCCAAACCGCUGUAUCCAUCAUCUUCAUUUCCCAGAGAAUAGGAAAUCUGUGAGAAUAAAAUAGAAGGAGAGAAAGAGUGCCGCUGCUUACCCACUAGUAAGAAGAGAUUGGAGACUUAAAGGAAAAAGAAGUCCAGCAUUUUAUGAAUAGGAGAAUCAAGCAAGUCAGUGCUAAGAAAGGCAAGUGAUGAUUUUCUUUCCAAGAAAGCAGCUUCCUCAGGACUCACUCCAGAGGGGGUAUUCGGCAGGUUCUGACCAGUUCUGGAGAACCGGUAGCAGAAAUUUUUAGUAGUUUGGAGAACCGGCAAAUACCACCUCUGACUGGAGAGUUUACAGUAUCCUUCCCCUGCUACGCC